rnacentral:rRNA from 1 species
UGGGGAAUUUUGCACAAUGGGGGAAACCCUGAUGCAGCGACGCCGCGUGAUUUAGAAGGCCUUCGGGUUGUAAAAAUCUUUUCUAUGGGAAGAAAAUGACAGUACCAUAGGAAUAAGGACCGGCUAAUUACGUGCCAGCAGCCGCGGUAAUACGUAAGGUCCGAGCGUUGUCCGGAAUCAUUGGGCGUAAAGGGUACGUAGGCGGGUAAGCAAGUUAGAAGUGAAAUCCUAUAGCUCAACUAUAGUAAGCUUUUAAAACUGCUCAUCUUGAGGUAUGGAAGGGAAAGUGGAAUUCCUAGUGUAGCGGUGAAAUGCGCAGAUAUUAGGAGGAAUACCGGUGGCGAAGGCGACUUUCUGGCCAUAACCUGACGCUGAGGUACAAAAGCGUGGGUAGCAAACAGG